GAUGAACGCUAGCGAUAGGCUUAACACAUGCAAGUCGAGGGGCAGCAUGGUCUUAGCUUGCUAAGACUGAUGGCGACCGGCGCACGGGUGCGUAACGCGUAUGCAACUUGCCUCACAGAGGGGGAUAACCCGUCGAAAGACGGACUAAUACCGCGUACACUCCAUCUUGGGCAUCCAAGGUAGAGGAAAUGAAAUUCGCUGUGAGAUAGGCAUGCGUCCCAUUAGCUAGUUGGUGAGGUAACGGCUCACCAAGGCGACGAUGGGUAGGGGAACUGAGAGGGUGAACCACCACACUGGUACUGCGACACGGCCCAGACUCCUACGGGGGGCAGCAGUGAGGAAUAUUGGUCAAUGGUCUAGCGCCUGAACCAGCCACGUCGAGUGAAGGACGACGCUCUUAUUGUGUAUAAACUUCUUUAAUACGGGAAUAACACGGGUCACGUUUGACUCCCUCCGUGUCCCGUAUGAAAAAGCCUCGGCUACCUCCGU
rnacentral:rRNA from 1 species